AGAGAAAAUCAUUGAAGAAAUUGAACAAAGAAAAUUUCUGGGAAUAGAAGGUCUGAAGGAAGCUCGAAGAUUUGCAAGGAACAUCAUACUGGAUGCAGAAACUGCUCACCCUUUCCUUGCUGUGUCACCUGAUGGGAAGGUAGUUCAAAGGCUCUCUGUAAAACAACAUGUUCCUGAUAAUCCUGCUCAAUUUACUCUAAU